AUAAUUAUAAAUUUUCAGGACACGUUUAUAGGGAAAAUAACCACUCAUGAUAUGUGCAAAACAUAGAGGAUUUAUUUUCCAGACACAGUAUUUCCAGAAGCAAUCAGGAGUCUCACGUUUCUUAUAUGGUUUCCUGAUUCUGGCCAAAAGAUGACUCAGUAAAAUGUCAGGAUCUUGUCCAGAGAAAUCCUGAAACUGAAACAAUCCAAACAAAAAAACAGCAGCAUCUCUGGCAGUAUCUGCAGAAGAGAAGCUCUUUCUAGCUCCUCCGGAGUUAACGGCGCAUCUUCAUGAGGUGCUACAGAGGAAAAACAGAGACUUAACAAUUCAGUUCAUCCAGUUGGUUAUGUCUGUUCCUCGUGUCUUUGGAGAGUACCAGAGACAGGGAGAUGAACACUAGAAAAACGUCCAACGCUAAGUUCACGACGUGUCAUCAGUGGUGUUCUAAAAGAGGCGGAAAUGCUACCAGCCCAUGUGCCAGCCGGCAGAACGGGAAGCCGGGAGACGUGGAUCUGACGACCGCGUGAUGCGCCAAGCCCCUCGAUUGCCUUGAGUAAGAGCUGAGGGCUGAGCCACAGCCUCUCUCAAAACCAUUUUGGUUCAAAACGUCUGACUCUCCCUCAUUUCUGCUUAACUACUGCUGCCUACUGCCUUUUUGCUUUUAGAUAUUUGGGCAGUGAAAUUGGAGAGGAAAAAGAAGAUUGUUUACGACCUUCCUGUAAAGCCAGUAGGAUGGUAUCACCUCUUCUCUUACUAAACUUCAAGAUUUCAACACAAUUAUUAUACUUAGGAUCGGCUUCAAACUCAUCGAAAUGUCCGUCACCAUCCUGGUGACCUAGAAGGCUACUGCACAAAGAAGAAUGGGCUGCCAAGGAGCGAUGUUCCGGGUCUGGAUCUAGUCCAGCGCGGGCUGUGUCAUGCACCUGAGUGAUGGCCAGCGGAGAGGAAGGCUGACGUGGAAAUAAAUAUCCGCUCUGUUUAUUGAUCUGAUUCAUCCAAUUACCUAGGAGGUUCGAUUGAGAGAGGUCCAAGGAAAUGACUCAAAUGUCACCUGAAUGAUGCCUGAAAGGCUUCAGCCAGCAUUUUUCUCCUAUCACUGUUUUCAGAGGAGACUUUUAGUUACCGAGAAUAUUAAUUGCUGCUGAGAGCUGGGUGUGAAGUUAAAUGGAAAUGAAAGCCCCCAACAGCUGUGCUCCGUGUGAUGGCUCAGCGGGGAGAGUGGAUGCUGAGCUGAACUGGGCCAGCUGGCUCAUUUUACUUGACAGUUUUCAUUUCUAUUUCUUCUCUUUAACUCAUAAAUAAUGGAACAUCGCUGUUACGUGCUGAGUUGUGUCACCCCAAAACUCACAUGUUGAAGGUUUAACCCCCGGCACCUUCGAAGGUGGCCGUAUUUGGAGACGAGCUCCUCAAAUAGGCAAGUAAAUUAAGGGAGGCCCUGGUCCAUUAGGAUUGGUGUCCUUAUAGAGAGGAGAUGAGGACACAGACACACAGAGGGACGACCGUGUGAGGACACAGGGAGAAGAAGGCGUCUACAAGCCAAGCUCAAGAGAGGCCUUGUCGGGGGGAACCAGCCCUGUCAACACUUUGAUCUUGGACUUCCAGCCUCCAGGACUGCAAAAAAUGUCAUUUCUGUCGUUGAAGCCUCUCAGUCGGUUUGUUUGUUAUGGUAGCCCCAGCAAACUAAGACACUACCCUUGACACCUCUAUUCCAUUUCCAAUCUGAUCACCAAACUGAGUAAAUUCUGCGUAGCGCAUCCGAGGACCUAACAAUUCACAGAGGAAUUUGAUUUUUCAGGUGAGAAAACUUUCUUGUCCACUGAAACAGUAGCUAAGCUUUGAUUUCCAAAGUUCUCCUUACGGUCAUUCAAGGCCUUUUGCUUACCAGAGUCCUCCAGUGUAGAGAUAGAGGGAGAGAAUCUCUCCUCAAGUUUCUAAAAACAAAGGAUAUUAAACUAUUAUUUCUGCUCAAAUCAUUUGAUCUUUAUUACUUUUCCAUUGUCAACGUUCUCUAGCCAAAGAUCACCAGGAGCGCACUUAUAGCCAAACAAAAUUGAGUUUUUUUACUCAUUUCAUGAAACCAAAAACCACAGGUAACCAUGAGGAGGUCUCAGUAAUAUCGAAAAGGACUUACAGUGUCUGGGCUUGAGUUGGGUGAUUUGGGGGAGGAUCCAGGAUGCUGUCAGGAAGAAGGGGGUGAUUCUGUGCUUGGCUAUCUUAAUAAUUGUCACCUAAAAGGCUAAAAGAGCCAUGUGAGGCUAAGGCCACUGUUGGCAGAAAAGCAGCUAUCACUGACAUCAGCCAGGAUAGGUGAUGAGGGAUCAUUUUUUUGUUUCAAUGUUCUUGCUUUGAUCUCAGCAGACAAAAUUGCAGGCAGAGUGGUCUUGUCUUCUUGAUCUGGUGCCAUCAUGCGUGCUCUUCUCUGAGUUGAUGUUCUUGAAAUCCUCGCUGUUGAGUGGGACACAAGGGCAGCUGUGAGGGUCAGCCCUGCUCUCUUCCCACUCCUCUGUGUACUUAUCAGUUACGUAACACAACGUGCUCUCUCUAUGGUGUAGAAGCAUGGAGUCCUUUACAGGGGCAGCCCCAGCAUCCUCCCUCACCUCCCAGGCCCCUGACCCGGCCCGGCUUCACUCCACAGCCCUGCACCCCACAAUGUGCUGUGAGUUUGUUGACGUGUGGUUUGUUGGCAUUGGCAGGUCCAUGAGGGCAGGGCCAUGUCAGCAGGCGUACCUUGUUUUAUUGAUCUUCACUCAGUUGUACUUCAGAUAUUGCAUUUUUUUAAAAUGGAAGGUUUAUGGCAACUGUGCAUCGAGCAAGUCUAUCAGCAUCAUUUUUCCAGCAGUGUGUGCUCACUUUGAGUCUCUGUGCCACAUUUUCAUAAUUCUCACAAUAUUUCAAACUCUUUCUUAUUAUUAUAUCUACUAAGAUGACCUGUGCU